GAGGCGUAUUCGGUUCCAAGAGCGUGGUAUUCGGUUCCAGGAGCGUGGUAUUCGGUUCCACUCCUGCGAAGUAUUUUCAAAAACACUGUAUUCGGUUCGCUACAUUGGGUAUCCAGUUCCAGGCCCUUGAAAAAUUGAAGAAGCAAAUGUAUUUGGUUGAGCAUGAGCAAGCUUCGUAAUCUCUUUCUUGAGGUCCACUUCAAAUUUCUCUUUCUUUGUCCGUGUCGUAAACCUAUUCCCAAACAAAACCCAUCAUUUUGUUCAGAAACAGUGUAAUUGGAAAAAAGAAUAGCAAAAAGAGUGAGAGACGCGAAUGAAGCACCUUGUUCCAGAUGCUAUCGAAGACUUCAACACCCUCCUGAACCUUCUUGAGAACACGGUCUAUCUCUCGCUGGAGCUUUCGACUUGCACCCAUUGAUCACGCUUCUCACUUCACCCAAUGCCAGAGUGAUGGUCCAAUUGCUCUUUGAUUCGGGUUUUAGGGUUUUUUCUGCACUCGCUUGCUUACCUGCUUGCUUGCUCAGAGGAUGCGGAGAUUCUACCACGACAUCACUCUUUGUCGUUUCAUAUAUAAACUCCAUUUUAUGAUUCGUAUUAAAGGAGGUUAAUUUUUUUAUUUUUUCAAAC
rnacentral:sRNA from 1 species